ensembl:snRNA U6 U6 spliceosomal RNA
GUGCUCUCUUCGGCAGCACAUAUACUAAAACUGGAAAGAUACAGAGAAGAUUAGCAUGGCCCCUGCCCAAGAAUGACAUGCAAAUUCGCGAAGCGUUCCAUAUUUUU